AUAUUCUAAUAGAGCGGGCGGUUGACUGUAGCGGCCGCCAAUUCCCCCUUCCCCCGCCGAGGUAGCGGGGGACUCACCGGAUGGGAGGGGGAUGCACCCAAAGCAUCCCUACCUCGUUUUGUAAAUUUUCGGUUUGACCCUGCCCUUAACCUAUGGGCCGCCGGGAAUUCCUCCUUACUUAGAAAGGGGAAAAGUAAACGGGUCUCGGGAAGAAAGGGUAAAAUUCUUUGAUCCUUUUCUCACCACCUGUGGCGAUGGCGGUCUCCCACAUCCAAUACGACGUUGAUGGGACGGAAGCAAGGAAGCACACCGAAUUGUAUACGCUGAUCCCCCCCUCUUAAAACUACACCCCUCAGUCUGCUCCUUUUUUUCCCCGUGAUGGGGUGGAGGAAAACCGAAAGUUUUAACCCCGGAAAACUUCAUACACUGUUACGAAGCUGAAACUUUUGGGAGUUGCCGAACCA
rnacentral:rRNA from 1 species